rnacentral:tRNA from 3 species
GAGAAAUUAGCUCAAUGGUAGAGCCACCGUCUUACACACGGGGGGUUGGGUGUUCGAGUCACCCAUUUCUUA